CCAGCGUCGGUCCGGGCUGCUGUGCGCCGGGGGGCGCUCACGGGGCCCUGGCGGGGACGUGGGGGUCUCGCAGCUGGUGCGAGGAGGCAGGGCCUCAAAGCUGAAGCCCUCGCGGGUGUAGACGUGCAGGAUCCGCGCGGACCCGUCCCCGUACACGCGCCCGGCCUCCGCCUCCGCCCAGGGCGCGCGCAGCAGCGGCUUCAGGGUGUAGCGCGCGUGCUUGACCGCGAAGAAGCCGUCGAGACCACCGCAGAGGUCAAAGACGGCCAGAGAGCGGGGGCUGCCGUCCACCGUGCCCCGGUAGAAGCAGUGGCCCCGGUGGCGCCGGGUCGCGUUCGGCCCGCCUCCUGCGGGCACAAAGCCAGCGGCGCCCACCGAACCAUCCCGCUCUAGGUCCAGGAGGAACCUCCGGCCGCCCGCGUAGAUCAGGGCAUUGUUCCAUUGCCUUUUAGCAUCCAGUGAACUUUUGACUGCCAUUUCUUUGCAUGUGACUUGUGUACCCUGCCAGGGCUUAUCCUAAAGUUCCUGCUGACACACUGUGGCAAUAGCUCAAGGAUGCUCCAGAGAAAACUGGAUGAGCGGACUGUGGGGAGAAAUAUAUAUCUGCUCUUCGUCUUUGAUUCCCGACACGGAGCUUCUAAAACCCUUGGAAUUUCCUGAUUGAUGAGAUUUUCCCCAACUGCUCAAGACUUUGGAAUGGCUAUAUGGAUGAAACAAAUGACUCUUCUGGCGUUGGAUGUUGAAUGGCUUUACUUUCUCACACAUUCUUGGACCUUGGAGUGUUUUUCCCGUGCAGGGCCUGUGACCUACAGAUGGCUGUGGUAUAUUCAAUACAUUGAAAAAAAUACAAAGAUGUUCAUUAUUAUAUUAUUCUACAUUUUUCCUUCUUUUCUCGUGGGAUUGUUUCACAAUGGCUAAAUUUAGUGGUCAGCAUUUACUGCAAAAAACUGGUGACACAGGGACUCAGGGUCUAGAAAUUUAUCUCAGCAGAAUGGACUUCUAAAAUGCCAAUCCAUAUAAACAAGGGAAUCAUAAAUUUUAGCAGAAAGUUGAUACAUAUAUAUCUCAGAAGGAAAAAUGU